AGCUCCAAUAGCGUAUAUUAAAGUUGUUGCAGUUAAAAAGCUCGUAGUUGGACUUCUGGUUUGGUGAGAUGGUCCGCCGCAAGGUGUGCACUAUUUUGUCGAGCCUUCUUCUCGUAGUUGCGUGGUGCACUUAACUGGGUGCCAUGUGAAUAUGGGACCUUUACUUUGAAAAAAUUAGAGUGUUCAAAGCAGGCCUUCGCUUGAAUACAUUAGCAUGGAAUAAUAGAAUAGGACUUUGGUUCUAUUUUGUUGGUUUCUAGGACCGAAGUAAUGAUUAAUAGGGACAGUUGGGGGCAUUAGUAUUUAAUUGUCAGAGGUGAAAUUCUUGGAUUUAUGAAAGACUAACUACUGCGAAAGCAUUUGCCAAGGAUGUUUUCA
rnacentral:rRNA from 1 species